rnacentral:rRNA from 1 species
AGGGAAUCUUCCGCAAUGGGCGAAAGCCUGACGGAGCAACGCCGCGUGAGUGAUGAAGGUCUUCGGAUCGUAAAGCUCUGUUGUUAGGGAAGAACAAAUGUGUAAGUAACUGUGCACAUCUUGACGGUACCUAACCAGAAAGCCACGGCUAACUACGUGCCAGCAGCCGCGGUAAUACGUAGGUGGCAAGCGUUAUCCGGAAUUAUUGGGC